rnacentral:rRNA from 1 species
CACGAAGGGGGCUAGCGUUGCUCGGAAUCACUGGGCGUAAAGCGCACGUAGGCGGAUUCUUAAGUCGGUGGUGAAAUCCUGGAGCUCAACUCCAGAACUGCCUUCGAUACUGAGAGUCUUGAGUUCGGGAGAGGUGAGUGGAACUGCGAGUGUAGAGGUGAAAUUCGUAGAUAUUCGCAAGAACACCAGUGGCGAAGGCGGCUCACUGGCCCGAUACUGACGCUGAGGUGCGAAAGCGUGGGGAGCAAACAGG